UACCAGCUCUCCGAGUGGUGUGGAUGUUUAUUGGGCCUAAAGCAUCCGUAGCUGGCUAAGUUAGUCCCCUGUUAAAUCCACCGAAUUAAUCGUUGGAUUGCGGGGGAUACUGCUUGGCUAGGGGACGAGAGAGGCAGACGGUAUUUUCGGGGUAGGGGUGAAAUCCUAUAAUCCCGGGAAGACCACCAGUGGCGAAGGCUGUCUGCUAGAACGCGCCCGACGGUGAGGGAUGAAAGCUGGGGGAGCGAACCGG
rnacentral:rRNA from 1 species